GCUCAGAGUAUAAGCCAAUGGAGCUUGGAAGGCUUCCGCAGAUGGUGUUCAUCAUACGUGGUGUUCUUAGACCUUGAGUGUGGCUCGUGAAGCGAAGCAUUGAGUUUGCCGACCAGCUGUCGUGCGGGGGGUUCAGCUUGGAAGGGUUGGGUUUCGGUCCAACAGUUUUCCUUCUGUCCCCUUUUGAAUGGACGUUCAGAGCUCUUGUGUCUAAUGCGGUUAUGCCCACCACAGCACGUUGUGAGGUCACCCACAGGCUCAAACUGCCGAUCGCGCAUCCAGGACGAUGGCAACGAUGCGUUGUCGAUGAUGGCUCGAGAGAGACUUCACUCACACGCGUGUCUAGUCCUGGGUCGGGCGGCGACCGAGAUAAACCUGGUACGAUCCUCUUGCGACGAGCUGCUUUCUGGCCAGACCGACGCCCGGACGCCUCCACUGUGCCGGAAGCGUCAACCCCAGGCGGUGUGAACCCAGCUGCAUUAUGCAAGGUCUCUCAGCCGGGCGUUGGUCUGAGUGGUGUUAAGUCCAGCACCAUCGGUCACGUCUCGAAACACGGGCCAAGGAGUAUAGCAUGUGUGCAAGUCUAAGGGUCUCACAAAACCCGAAGGCGAAGUGAAAGCAAGACUGUGGCGGGGGAGCUACGGCAAACCCGCCGGCCUAGUGGCGCGUGCGUCGCCUGGCUUUUAGCAGAGCUGAUCCUGUUUUCUCGGUUAAUUCUUGGUGCAGGCGCAAGCUCCGGGCUCACGUACAACACUGGUCACGCCUCGCG
rnacentral:rRNA from 1 species